UGUAUUGUAGUGUAUAUUUGCACUAAGGUCUUUGAAUUCUUAAGAGAAAUAAUUCUUUCCUUUACAA
rnacentral:tRNA from 1 species